rnacentral:rRNA from 1 species
AGAGUUUGAUCCUGGCUCAGAUUGAACGCUGGCGGCGUGCUUAACACAUGCAAGUCGAACGUGAAAGUCCUUCGGGGCGAGUAAAGUGGCGCACGGGUGAGUAACGCGUGGAUAAUCUACCCUUAAGAUGGGGAUAACGGCUGGAAACGGUCGCUAAUACCGAAUACGCUCCCGAUUUUAUCAUUGGGGGGAAAGAUGGCCUCUGCUUGCAAGCUAUCGCUUAAGGAUGAGUCCGCGUCCCAUUAGCUAGUUGGCGGGGUAACGGCCCACCAAGGCAACGAUGGGUAGCCGGUCUGAGAGGAUGACCGGCCACACUGGAACUGGAACACGGUCCAGACUCCUACGGGAGGCAGCAGUGGGGAAUAUUGCGCAAUGGGCGAAAGCCUGACGCAGCGACGCCGCGUGAGGGAUGAAGGUUCUCGGAUCGUAAACCUCUGUCAGGGGGGAAGA